rnacentral:rRNA from 1 species
GUUUGGUAUCGUCAAUGAAAUACCACUACUCUUAUUGUUUCCUUACUUACUUGAUUAAAUGGAACGUGUAUCAUUUCCUAGCCAUUAUACGGAUAUAUUUAUUAUAUCUUAUGGUAUUGGGUUUUGAUGCAAGCUUCUUGAUCAAAGUAUCACGAGUUUGUUAUAUAAUCGCAAACAAAUUCUUUAAUAAAACGGUGCAUUUAUGUAUUUUUGAUUUGAAAAUUUGGUAUAACUCCAAUUACUCAGGUAUGAUCCAAUUCAAGGACAUUGCCAGGUAGGGAGUUUGACUGGGGCGGUACAUCUCUCAAAUAAUAACGGAGGUGUCCCAAGGCCAGCUCAGUGCGGACAGAAACCACACAUAGAGCAAAAGGGCAAAUGCUGACUUGACCUCGGUGUUCAGUACACACAGGGACAGCAAAAGCUCGGCCUAUCGAUCCUUUUGGUUUAAAGAGUUUUUAACAAGAGGUGUCAGAAAAGUUACCAUAGGGAUAACUGGCUUGUGGCGGCCAAGCGUUCAUAGUGACGUCGCUUUUGGAUCCUUCGAUGUCGGCUCUU